GGAAGAUGCCAUUCGGUGUUCCAUUAACAAGCCACAGACAACAGCCUGUGCAUGCUGGUACAUUUGGUUGAUUUACCAUUCUAAAAAUGUUAAGUGCACAAUUGUAUUAGUAAAGCUUAAUUGCAUGGAAUAUAGCUUUGUUUAUACAUCAACAACUAGAAAUCAGGCGUAGUGAUAAUCUCUCUUUGUUACACAAUAUCUACAGUUCAACUAUAAUGUAACAUAAACUAAUGUUAAAUGAAGAAGCUAAUGUGAAGAUUUUGCAAUGGAUCCCGCUUUUCACCUCCCAAAUCCCAAUCCAUGCAAGGAAUGCCCAUGGAUCUCAACAUUUUUUCAGUGGCCAACACAUCAUCUUCUGGAUACUUUGGACCACAUGUAGACAACAAAGAAACAAAAUAGUGCAAAAAGAACCACAUGGACCACAUGGUUUCCACCAUUCUUAACGAUGCUCCUGUUCAAUUUCCUUAUGUUGUUCUUCACACCUGCUUGAGCUUUUAUCACGGUCAUUUGCUGUUAAGUCACAAAACUGAGCUCUCAUAAAACAGUUGCAGCAUUUUGCAAGUAGGAAAUAAAAGAAAAUGGCUUUAUGUCUAAACAAAAAAGCUCAGAAUAAAUGAUGGUACAAAAUUUCAUUACUAGCUCUACACAAUAAAGAAAGUUCUACACAGGACUACAGAUUUAGGCUUCAUAUGGUGAUGAUACAAUCAAUCUUAUUCCUUUCCAGCAAUUAAAAUGCCAAAAUUUAAAAAUUGCUGCACAUAAAUAAUAGUAACAUUUAAUAGGGGAAGAUUUGAGCUGGUAACCUCCUCUGCAGAUAAGGUGUGUGGCUGCCUAAGCCAGUAACACAACAGACCUUUUAAUUUUACACUAUCAGCACUAAAAGUUCAGAGAUUUUAAUCACCAACUCCUUACCUUAUUGAAAUUUCAUGUCAUGGAACACUUUUUUUUUUCCCUCCAAAUUCACAAAAGUAAGGUUUCAACAGAGUUAUUCAAAUAGAAAUAUGACUUCACUGCAGUAACAAUGUAGAUAAAACUAAAAAGAACAAAAGGCAGUCAAAAAUAAUAUAAAACAGCAAAAUAAAUGAAGAAAAGGACAUGCCAAUUGGAAACUUUACCAGCUUAUCCAAGAAAUCCUUCUGGAACUUUGCUUCCAUUCCUAUCUCUUGAGCCACCUGCAGCAUAUACUAGUAUAAGAUCUAAUAAAGUAAAAAAAAUCUAAAGAAAACUUUAAACAUUUUAGUGACGAUAUUGUUAAGAUUAGUUAAGGGAAGAAACAUCUGCUGAUGUUGAGUUUCAAGUAAAAGCAAGUAGGAAGUAGAGACAAAAAUGUAAAUAAAGUAACAAAAAGCAUAAAGUAACAAAAUCUUCACACACAUAAAAGUUUGUAAUUUUCUGUCGGUAGAUAUAUGGCCUCAAGAAAAGAUUAAUUUAAUUCAACAUUAAAGUGAAUAAAAAAAAAAGGAUUAUGCAUAUGUCUCCCGCAAAGUGUUUCCGAACAACUUCUCCAUAUAAGCAUAUAGCAUAACUCACAGUGAAACAUGAGAAUUAACUUUAUUUUGCUAUAAUUCCAAGUUAAGUAGUUAAGUGGAUAUAACUCAACUCAACUGAGUCUUUAUCCCAAAAAUUUGGGAUCGACUAUAUGGAUUCGCUUUCUC
rnacentral:misc_RNA from 1 species